GUUUGUAUAGAAUUUUCUUGGGUAUCUUUGUUUUAGGGUAAAAUUAAAAAUGAAGGUCUACAGACACUAGAGGAGAAAUGAUUUGCUCUCUUCAUGAUGGGAAUGUAGUGGAUAUUGUUUACCUUGACUUCAGCAAGAUAUCAUAGCGUGGUUUUUGUCAAGUCAGAGAUGCGUGGAAUAUAAGUGAAGGUAACUGAAUACCUCAGUCAAACCAUGGUAUGGGUGUGCUGUGGAAAGAAGCAUGAAGAGUCCUUUUUUCCUCCCUAAAUCUUGCAGUUUAAAAGUGGAUCUACUGAACUCUGAAACUAAAGAUGCUACAAUAGAGGGAAGAAAUUUCCCGAGGUCAGGAAUCCUCAUUCUUGACUCAGCUUUCCAAGUGCUCCUUGAAAUAAACAAAAAA